rnacentral:rRNA from 1 species
CAGUCGCCGCGUGAAUACAGAGGGUGCGAGCGUUAAUCGGAUUUACUGGGCGUAAAGCGUGCGUAGGCGGCUUCUUAAGUCGGAUGUGAAAUCCCUGAGCUUAACUUAGGAAUUGCAUUCGAUACUGGGAAGCUAGAGUAUGGGAGAGGAUGGUAGAAUUCCAGGUGUAGCGGUGAAAUGCGUAGAGAUCUGGAGGAAUACCGAUGGCGAAGGCAGCCAUCUGGCCUAAUACUGACGCUGAGGUACGAAAGCAUGGGGAGCAAACAGGAUUAGAUACCCCAGUAGUCCCUGUCUCUUAUAC